UACGUAGGUGGCAAGCGUUGUCCGGAAUUAUUGGGCGUAAAGCGCGCGCAGGCGGUCCUUUAAGUCUGAUGUGAAAGCCCACGGCUCAACCGUGGAAGGACAUUGGAAACUGAGGGACUUGAGUACAGAAGAGGAAAGCGGAACUCCACGUGUAGCGGUGAAAUGCGUAGAGAUGUGGAGGAACACCAGUGGCGAAGGCGGCUUUCUGGUCUGUAACUGACGCUGAGGCGCGAAAGCGUGGGGAGCAAACAGG
rnacentral:rRNA from 1 species